rnacentral:tRNA from 1 species
ACGGUGGUGACGAAAAAGGUAGACGUAGUAUGCUUAGGACAUACUGAUUAACCAUAUCAUAAGGGUUCAAAUCCCUUCUACCGUA